CUCCAGACCUGGGAGAUCAAUGUGAGUGUGAAUUCAGGUCACCGGCUGGGCCAUCCUCGUCCGCAGCAGGAGUGGACCGCGAACACUCAGUGUUGCACCCAGUACAAGAUUCAUCUCUGUCUGGUUGAAGUCGAGUCCUCUGCUCAAGGGUUGGAACUCUCCUGUCGCACGUAGUCCUGGAACUGCUGGGUAAGAAGUGAGUCACGGGGCCAUGUAUGUGAUGAGAACACAAGAAGACUUGCUUCUGCGCAGACUCCUGGGCACCCGGUCACUUCCCCAUACAGUCUACAGCAAAAACCCACUGCAUAAAAGAGAAAUUGAGAAGGGCAGGCAUCAUGAGCGUGCUUCCUGGUAUGUUCCUUAGGUUCUCCUUUUUAAAAAGGGUGAGAUUAUUGGUUUGG
rnacentral:lncRNA from 1 species